CCUGGGGAAGCAAGGUAGGUAGGGAGGGGGGUUGCCCGCGACAUUAAAGUGGGACUCGCUUCCAACCCUCCUCAUGUUUUUGGUCCCCUCCCUCUGCCUGACAGUAACAGGGCAGAGGCUCCACCACCACCUUCUGGGGGCGUCUUCCCAGCGCCCUUCCCUCUGGCACACGAGGGAGUUACUGCACCAUUCAAUCUCCUGCUCACACCCUGAUGCUCCUUAGUCUCUCCACCUCCUCCCUGAGCUCAGCCACCAUGGUGAACAGACCUUCCCCCUGAGAACAGGCGGUCUCCCUGCUGCCCUCCUCCCCAUGCAGUGGCAGGCUCAGGCCCUCCCUGCAGCCAGAGGCCUGAACAGCCGCGUCUCUGGGCAGGCCUUCCAUCUGGCUCGCCACAGUCUUUUUGGAGUGAGCUCUCUACCGAGUGGACACCAUGGUAGGCGUGCGAUCUUGCAGACUGCAAAGAGUUGGUGCGGAGCUCCCGUACCCUGCCGCACCAGAUGCACACCAGUGCACACCACUGCUGGCUCCUCCCUGCUCGUGGUGGGCAGCGACACAUCGCCACCCUCCCGGUGGCCUUUUCUAGGUAGAGGGCGAGGGUGCAGUCGCCAUGGCCCUGGCAAUGUCCACUCCCUGUCAGCCUCUCUUGUGAGAGCUAGCAGGUGCAGCCUGGUCACGCUGCUGUCCUGGGCCUCCCCUGGCGAAGGAAGGGCCCAAGAUCCCCCUGUAACUCAUGGUCGGGCACUGCACUGCUCCGGCUCCAAGGCGGCUGGCCUCGACUACCGCGCUCACAAUACCUUUGUCAGGGUGAAUGAUGACAUCAUAGGCCUAGACUUGAGAUGUCUCUCCCCUUCUACUGUCUGGUGUUGUGCAGUGACAAAAUCACGUCAACAGCUCUGACUGUCUGAACUCCAUCAAAAUGGCCACCUUUCAUAUACACAACCUUCAGAUUUAAGUGUUUUAAAACUAUUUUUCUUAAAUCUCUUUUAUAAAUAUGAGGAAAAAAAAUAUCAUAAUGGCAUACUCCUGGUUUAUGGCAUACUCCUGAUGUCAUUGUCCUUGUCUGGCAACACAAACACAUAUCUUUAUGUAUACGUCUAUAUGUAUAUGUAUAGCUGAAUAGAUAUGUAAUGAUUCCUACUAGGGCUUGAAAUUUUAACAGGAAUGGCAGCUAUGCCAUUCUCUGGUGCUUAAUCUACAGUGGGACAAAAAGAAUCCCUAAUAUUGUGCAAUAAUAUGUGUAAUUCCCCUAGCUCAAGCUGGUGAAGCAAGUGCUUUUGGAUAACAGGUCAUGCUUUCUGUUCUCAAUGGUAUAAAUAGCAGUUUAGAGAAAUAAGUUUGUGCAUCUGAGAAAUGUUCAUAAAGUGUUAUAAACUGUUGGUUUUGUAUUUUGACUCCUACACAAUCCCUAGCGGCAUUAUACUGGUAAUAUACCACACUGUGUUCUCAAAGACUGAAUAGUAACUACAGAAAUAGAAGAGAAAAAUUCAGUCAGGAAAGCCUUAAUGAAAAUUGAUUGGAGAGGCUGGAGAAAAGAGAUAUAUUAUAUCCGUUCAGCAGGAAAACAAGUUGCAGUCUUUUUUGUUUUGCUCUGUUCUGUUUUGUUUUGUUUUGUUUUCCUUCUAAUUUAUAGGCUAAAACUUAAAGGUAAACCCAGAUCUCUGCAUCCAGAGGAAAACUAGUAUUCUAUUUAGUGUGCCAAAUUUUCUGCUGGUAUAUCUUGAUACAGUUCAAUUGGCUUUAACAGAAUUUGGCCAUUUUUCGUCAGCCAGGAAUUUAAACUAAUGUAUUAGGAAAUGUUCUCACUGAACUUGCAGGUUGCUUUCAGUUAUAUAUAUUUUUUUCUGUUUCUGAAAUUUACUUUGGAAGUUUUCAUGAAAAG
ensembl:lncRNA